rnacentral:sRNA from 1 species
UAAGCUGCCACUGCAAGGAAUUUCUACUUUAUUUCUUCCAACGAGGAAAUGUUAAAAACGAUUCGUGAGGAAAUCAUUAAGAAUGGGUCAUCAAAAAACGUGCCCCGCCCCCCGGAUUCCGCGGAUGCAUCGGCUCCAGAAGUGGCCAAAAAGAGGCAAGAAGUGGCCAAAAAGAGGCCAGAAGUUUCGCCGGAGAGGAUCGCGGUAACUCCUCGGAGGUCGCCCAGUCCCCUUGGAGAAUUAAGUAAUGUAAUGAGUCCUUUGCCGAAUCUUCCGAGCCCCCCCCGUGCAGUGGAGGAUAAUUUAAUUAAUUUAUCGGCCACGCCUCCUCGCAAAAGAAGGAGGUUCCACCCCACAAUUUUUUGGAAGCCGGAAUCGCACAAGGACGGCAGUGGUCGAGAGUGGACCACAUUAAAAUAUCAAUGCGAAAUUUGUUUUAAAAUUUGCCAAAAACCGAAGGCAUAUGAGAACCACAUAAUGUUGUGCAAAAAUGAUUGCAAAACAGUGGCUUGCAAGUGGUGCCCCUAUGUCCAAAAGUCCUCCAAUUUGGGAAAUCACUGGAAGAGGUGCAUAGGGGGGAAAAAAUUGUAUAUCCCCAUUGGGGAACAAUUGAAGCAGCGGAAAAUGUGGUCCGAAAUGAAGGACACGUCGGGAUCGAAAUCGCAAGUGGAAAGUGUGGCCUGUAUACAUUUUAAUUUAUUUCUUUUAUCAACAGAUGAAGACUUUUGAAAAAAUAUUGCCCACGGAGAAGUUACUUCCUUUCGUGUUUUAUUUUACCUCUCGCUGAAAACCCGAUC